GCCAGGCGCAGAGGCGCUCACCUGUAAUCCCAGUGGCUCAGGAGGCUGAGGCAGGAGGAUCGAAAGUUCAAAGCCAGCCUCAGCAAUGGUGAGACCCUGAGCGACUCCUUGAGACCUUGUCUCUA
rnacentral:sRNA from 1 species